UACAGAGGUCUCAAGCGUUGUUCGGAAUCACUGGGCGUAAAGGGUGCGUAGGUGGCGUGGCAAGUCAGAUGUGAAAGCCCGGGGCUACAACCUCGGAAUUGCAUCCGAUACUGCCAUGCUGGAGUACUGAAGAGGUGACUAGAAAUUCUCGGUGUAGCAGUGAAAUGCGUAGAUAUCGAGAGGAAUACCAAAGGCGAAGGCAGGUCGACUGGGCAGUUACUGACACUGAGGCACGAAGGCCAGGGGAGCAA
rnacentral:rRNA from 1 species